AUUGAACGCUGGCGGCAGGCCUAACACAUGCAAGUCGAGCGGAUGAAGGGAGCUUGCUCCUGGAUUCAGCGGCGGACGGGUGAGUAAUGCCUAGGAAUCUGCCUGGUAGUUGUGGAUAACGUCCGGAAACGGGCGCUAAUACCGCAUACGUCCUGAGGGAGAAAGUGGGGGAUCUUCGGACCUCACGCUAUCAGAUGAGCCUAGGUCGGAUUAGCUAGUUGGUGGGGUAAAGGCCUACCAAGGCGACGAUCCGUAACUGGUCUGAGAGGAUGAUCAGUCACACUGGAACUGAGACACGGUCCAGACUCCUACGGGAGGCAGCAGUGGGGAAUAUUGGACAAUGGGCGCAAGCCUGAUCCAGCCAUGCCGCGUGUGUGAAGAAGGUCUUCGGAUUGUAAAGCACUUUAAGUUGGGAGGAAGGGCAGUAAGUUAAUACCUCGCUGUUUUGACGUUACCAACAGAAUAAGCACCGGCUAACUUCGUG
rnacentral:rRNA from 1 species